AGCUCUCUGCAACGACGACGCCAACGGCAACGUUCCCCUGGGCAAAUCCUGCAACCGCUACUGGCAGUGCCAAGGCGGGUAUCCACGCCUUCAACGGUGCCCUGCUAUGCUGGUCUUCGACAGACGGUCUCUGCGCUGUGUCGUACCCCCUACUGAGGAAUGCGAUGUGCCCACUACUACUGCUCCCCCUCCAGAAGAACAGGAGAACAUUCCUCAGGAUUUAAGACCGGGCCAGCAGAAGCGGCCAACAAAUAACGAGUACCACGAGCAGCAGCAAGUUCGUCAACGGCCUAGGAACUAAAUCCUAAACUCAUUUCAUCAGACUAUCCUUCUAAAUAUUUACUUUCCGUAUUCCUAUGUCCACAACAAUAUUUAAAGUUAUUUCCUUCCAUUAUCAAUCUUACCAGUGCACCACUAUAAUUGGAUUUUUAAUUAGAGAUAACAAACUGACAGCUCCUGUCACUGAAAACUAAUGUUAACAUGUUUUAUAAUGCAAAUUGGGUCUCAAUGAAGUCACUGAAUCAGAAUGCGUACAAAUAAUUUAACUUUACCUUUUCUUUUUUUUUACCUGCUACACAAUAUUUAUAUUAUAUCUUUUUAAUAUUAUCAAAUUCUUUAAAAUUAAUACCUACAAAUAAUCCAAAAGAUGAAGAGUGAGUCAGUAAAGCAGACCCUUUGAGACAACAUCACUUUUAACAAAUUGAUGAAUUCAUCGUUAAUUGUAGACAACUACUAAAGCUCAGUUUAUUAUUUCUAAUCAAAAAUCCGUCUAGAGAGAAUUCAAUAUAUUAUACAAUAUUUCCAAAACUGAAACUGUAGAAUUCUAGACUCAGUGAAGCAACUUCAAAACAUUCAAGUUUUCAAAUUGUGUUAUAUUCAUCGUAUUCUUUCCCACCAUUUUUACUUUAAAGCUUAUCUCUAUACGUAGAAGUAUUUAAACUUCGAUUAAUUAUAGUCAUAACUAAGUUUAGUGUUAGUUUUUUUAAGUGUAAAUUUGAAAAUACACCAGCAACCUUAUUAUUGUUAAGGAACCAGUACAUCUUGAGACCGAUUGCAAAGGGGUGACCGCGGGUCGUUUUGUCAUGAACGAAUAUAAUUUCAAAGUUAUAGACGUAGACUCUAAGCAAAAUUACUGCCCCACCUCUGAAUAUUCUAUCGUAAAUUCUGACAGACGUUAACCGAAUGACGAUAAAUUUUAUAAUUAGUUUAUAAAUACAAGAAUCGCACAAAACAUAGAAAAAUUCCUUCGUUCUGAGUGAGCUCAAACCAGCAUCAUGGCUUUAACCAACUGAACUACAGGCCAAAUUAGCACAGUUGAAUAGAACGAUGACCCCG